rnacentral:ncRNA from 1 species
UCUUAUCAAGAGUGACGGAGGGAACAGGCCCUGUGAUGUCCGGCAACCUGCUCGGAAGGCUGAGUAAGGUGCCAAUUCCUGCGGCGAGGCGAUGUGCCGGGAGCCGAGAGAUGAG